GGGAGAUAGCUCAGUAUUAGAGCACAGGGCUAGCACGCCUGAGACCCCUGGUUCAAUCCCCUGGUGCUACCA
rnacentral:tRNA from 1 species